rnacentral:rRNA from 1 species
UACGAACGCUGGCGGCGUGCUUAACACAUGCAAGUCGAACGGAAAGGCCCUGCUUUUGUGGGGUGCUCGAGUGGCGAACGGGUGAGUAACACGUGAGUAACCUGCCCUUGACUUUGGGAUAACUUCAGGAAACUGGGGCUAAUACCGGAUAGGAGCUCCUGCUGCAUGGUGGGGGUUGGAAAGUUUCGGCGGUUGGGGAUGGACUCGCGGCUUAUCAGCUUGUUGGUGGGGUAGUGGCUUACCAAGGCUUUGACGGGUAGCCGGCCUGAGAGGGUGACCGGCCACAUUGGGACUGAGAUACGGCCCAGACUCCUACGGGAGGCAGCAGUGGGGAAUAUUGCACAAUGGGCGGAAGCCUGAUGCAGCAACGCCGCGUGCGGGAUGACGGCCUUCGGGUUGUAAACCGCUUUCGCCUGUGACGAAGCGUGAGUGACGGUAAUGGGUAAAGAAGCACCGGCUAACUACGUGCCAGCAGCCGCGGUGAUACGUAGGGUGCGAGCGUUGUCCGGAUUUAUUGGGCGUAAAGGGCUCGUAGGUGGUUGAUCGCGUCGGAAGUGUAAUCUUGGGGCUUAACCCUGAGCGUGCUUUCGAUACGGGUUGACUUGAGGAAGGUAGGGGAGAAUGGAAUUCCUGGUGGAGCGGUGGAAUGCGCAGAUAUCAGGAGGAACACCAGUGGCGAAGGCGGUUCUCUGGGCCUUUCCUGACGCUGAGGAGCGAAAGCGUGGGGAGCGAACAGGCUUAGAUACCCUGGUAGUCCACGCUGUAAACGGUGGGUACUAGGUGUGGGGUCCAUUCCACGGGUUCCGUGCCGUAGCUAACGCUUUAAGUACCCCGCCUGGGGAGUACGGCCGCAAGGCUAAAACUCAAAGGAAUUGACGGGGCCCCGCACAAGCGGCGGAGCAUGCGGAUUAAUUCGAUGCAACGCGUAGAACCUUACCCGGGUUUGACAUGGAUCGGGAGUGCUCAGAGAUGGGUGUGCCUCUUUUGGGGUCGGUUCACAGGUGGUGCAUGCCUGUCGUCAGCUCGUGUCGUGAGAUGUUGGGUUAAGUCCCGCAACGAGCGCAACCCUUGUUCACUGUUGCCAGCACGUUAUGGUGGGGACUCAAUGGAGACCGCCGGGGUCAACUCGGAGGAAGGUGGGGAUGACGUCAAGUCAUCAUGCCCCUUAUGUCCAGGGCUUCACGCAUGCUACAAUGGCUGGUACAGAGAGUGGCGAGCCUGUGAGGGUGAGCGAAUCUCGGAAAGCCGGUCUCAGUUCGGAUUGGGGUCUGCAACUCGACCUCAUGAAGUCGGAGUCGCUAGUAAUCGCAGAUCAGCAACGCUGCGGUGAAUACGUUCCCGGGGCU